GCUACAGUGCUACUGGCCCAUAAUCAGGCAACUGCAGAGUCUUAGGGGGUUAUCUAAUGUAGUCUUGGGGUGGCUGGAUAGACUUCCCAAAGAAGGUGAUGCCGAAGCUGAGGUCGGAAAUUACGAAGAUCAGCUAUUGUUCUACAUGAGGCAGAAACAGCCCUCAGUGGGAGACAGAAGACUCAAGAUCUAGAUGUUGUCCUGACAAACAAGGAAGGCCUGAGGAGAGAAGACACAUAGUCAUGCUGACUAAACCAGAUCACCUAGAAUUACCAAAUGGAAAGAUUGUGCCUGCAGCCUGGCCUGUUGCCCACAGCGGUCUACCUGCCACACUGGGAAAGAUCGAGCAGAGACAGAGAAGAAAAGGAGGCUCCAUUUUUCAGGCUGCUCUCCCGCAGGCUCAUGUUUUGUGUUCAUGCCAGGCAGAGAACACAAAAUGUUCCAAUAAAUAAGUAUCAAAGGUUAGUGGUGAAAAUGAAGGAGGAGGAGGCAUUGCGUGAAAAACUAAACAUGCAAAAUAUUACACACAAAGAGAACCAAAAUGCAGGUUCACUGGAAAUGAUAGACAAUAUGUUAAAACAAGAGGAGAGAAGAGAGCUGAAAUAAUCAAAUGGAAACACACAAUUUAGGGCUAAGAUCUUGUUGUGUUCAGCCACAAAUGAUGGCCAGCAGUGAGGAAUCUGUGUGUUCUCCACACUCUUCGCUCCUGGGAAGUCAACUCACAUGGACCAUGAUAUCAAUAUCUGCUCCUUCCCCUAAUAUCUGUUUGACCUUGGGUCAGUUACUUAAACUUCCUAAGCCUUAGUUUCUUUGUCUGGAAAAUAGGGAUAGUUAUACCUACCACACAACCACUUUGUAAUGAAUAUGUUGGAAAUUAUAUGCAAAUUGGCUUCCGUUGGUGUUUGGAACAUAGUAGGUUUUUAACUGGAAUAUAAUAGCUACCAUUAUCAGUAUCAUCAUAUUAAUUUAUAUUUCCAUCUUCAGCCCUUAACCCAGGAUCUUCAGUAAAUGUUGAAUUCUCAAAUUUGUUAAAUUCACUUGUCUAUACUAAUAUUUUACUCUAGGUUUCUUAGAAUAUUCUAGAUAAUAUUAUUAUGUAGAAUAUGUUAUGUAAGCUUCAUCUUAUCUGUAAAUAUAGUUUUACUUUUUCCUUUCUAAUUUUUAUGUCGAUUACUUCUUUUUCUUGGCUUAUUGAAUUGGCUAGGAUUCCCGUACAGUGUUGAAUACGUGCAGCAAGACUGCACAUCUUGCCUUGUUCCUGGUCCCACAGAGAGAAUAUCCAGUACUUCACAAUAAGUAUGUGUUAAUUGUAGAUUUUAUUAGAUUGAGGAAGUUCCCUUUCCUUUCAAGUCAGUCUUUUUAUUUUAAACAUGUAUUGAAGUUUUGUCAAAUGUCUUCAUCUAUUGGAAUAAUUAUACAUAUCUCUUUUUUAUUCUGUUAAUAUUACAUUUCAAUCUUCUGUCUACCUAAAAUCCCUAGAAUAAUCUCCAUUUGGCUAUGAUGUGUUGUGCUUUUAUAUAUUACUGAAUUCUAUAUGCCAAUAUUAUUAAAAUUUUCUGUCUUUAUGAGAAA
rnacentral:lncRNA from 1 species